UACAGAGGGGGCAAGCGUUGUUCGGAAUUACUGGGCGUAAAGGGCGCGUAGGCGGCCUGCUAAGUCGGACGUGAAAUCCCUGAGCUCAACCCAGGAACUGCGUCCGAUACUGGUUGGCUUGAAUCCGGGAGAGGGAUGUGGAAUUCCAGGUGUAGCGGUGAAAUGCGUAGAUAUCUGGAGGAACACCGGUGGCGAAGGCGACAUCCUGGACCGGUAUUGACGCUGAGGCGCGAAAGCCAGGGGAGCAAACGGG
rnacentral:rRNA from 1 species